rnacentral:tRNA from 1 species
AGGAAUAUAGUUUAAAAUAAACAUUUGAUUUGCAUUCAAAAAUUAUUGAUUAAUUCAAUUUUUCUUG